AGAGUUUGAUCCUGGCUCAGGAUGAACGCUAGCUACAGGCUUAACACAUGCAAGUCGAGGGGAAACGACAUCGAAAGCUUGCUUUUGAUGGGCGUCGACCGGCGCACGGGUGAGUAACGCGUAUCCAACCUGCCCAUCACUUGGGGAUAACCUUGCGAAAGUAAGACUAAUACCCAAUGAUAUCUCUAGAAGACAUCUGAAAGAGAUUAAAGAUUUAUCGGUGAUGGAUGGGGAUGCGUCUGAUUAGCUUGGUUGGCGGGGUAACGGCCCACCAAGGCUACGAUCAGGUAGGGUUCUGAGAGGAGGUCCCCCANAUUGGAACUGAGACACGGUCCAAACUCCGUACGGGAGCA
rnacentral:rRNA from 1 species